CAAUUUUGUUACCUAAUUUUAGUGCUAGAAGCUAGAAGGGAGUGAGACUUGCUCUCAGUUUAUUUACAGUUAGCUUGACCUAUCAAUGUUGAUUGGGGGUGUUUUUUCUUCUUAGUAGUGCCUUGAUUAGGCUGUUUAGUUGAUUUUUUGUCUGAGUUAGUAGUUCAACUCAGUUGAACCAUGAGCAACAUAUAUUUUCUAUUAUUGGUUCCCCUAAUUUCUAUGACCACACAUAGUGUAAAAAUUUUGAAAACUGAGAUAGACACAGUAAUAAAUUUACCAGCUUUCUUUACAUAAAUAUUCAGUAUAUUUUCAAUUCAGCAUACAGUACAUGCUAGAAGCAAAUGUAAAGCUGCAGUUUCUACUUCAAUCAGAAUAGAAUUGGAAGAGAGCUUGGAGGUCUUCUAGUCCAACCCUCUGCUCAAGUGGGUUUGAGCAUUUGAGACAUGUGGCUGUCCAAGUUCUCCUUAACAAUCUCCAGUGAUGAAGCGCUUACAACUUCUGAAAGCAAGCUGUUCCACUUGUUAAUUGUUCUCACCGUUGGAAGUUUCUCCUUAAUUCCAAGUUGCUUCUCUCUUUGAUUAGUUUCCAUCCAUGGUUUCUUAUCUUGCCUUCUGGUACUUUGGAAAAUAAGUUGACCCCCCCCCCCUUGUUUGUGGCAGCCCUUCAAAUACUGGAAUACUGCUAUCAUGUCACCCCUGGUCUUUCUUUUCUCUAGACUAGCCAUACCUGGUUCCUGGAACUGUUCUUCGUUUAUUUUAGUCUCCAGGUCUUUAAUCAUCUUAGUUGCUCUUCUCUACAGUUCUCCCAGAAUCUCAAUAUCUUUUUUGUAAUGUGGUGACCAAAACUGGAUGCAGUGUUCCAGAGGUGCACAGAGAUAAAUUUGAUGAAGGAAUGCAAGAACUGUUAAGACAAAGCAAACAGUAACUCAAAAACUCUUGGGAAAGGAGAAAGCAUGAGAAAGAAACUCAAGAUAAUCCUGGCUUGAAUCUGUUUGGUAUCUGAAAAUACAGAAGAAAAUUCUGGCAUGAUUUCAAGAUUCUUUCAAGAUUUUGUCAAUGUACACUAUAGCAAUAAAGAAACAUUCUUAUAAUCCU